GACGCUCGAACAGCGGCCGAAGUUAGAGAGCGGUGGUCGAUGCGGCGAGAUUGAGAGGCUGCGGCAGCGGCAGGAGCUCCAGCAAACACGUCCAGCCGCUUCCCCCUCCACUGUCUGACUUCCACCCGCCGCCGGCCCCAAUAUGGCGUCAAUAACAACGCCGCCGAUUCAAAUCCUGCGGCCUCAGGGCGCGUGCGCAUAGCGGGGGGCGGGAGCCCGAGCAUACAUUCUGGGAGUUGUAGUUUAUCACUGGAGGAAGGACUCUGCGUGAAAAGCGGUUAAGGAGAAGUCACGAAAACUACGAGUCCCGUCAUUCAAGGCCAGCGAUUCCGAGUUCCGGAUUGGAAUUUAAAUCCCCCUACACAUCUUGAGUGUAAAAGGAACUGAGGCUCCCCAACAAGGGAUCCAACUGUGCUCCCUGCAUUGGAAGUGCGGCGUCUUAAUCACUGGACCACCAGGGCAGUCUCUCCUUUCUCUUCUUGAUGAUGUGACCGAAACAGCUGACCCAGCCCAGCUUUGCCUCAUUUUGUGGUUGAACUGCAGCAUAUUAGAGGUUCCUUGUUCUCAAACCCAAGUUCCCAGAAGAGGAAAUUUAUUGGCUAGCUCUUGUAACAUACUCGGAUCUGCCACUGCCAACCAAAGGUGUGUAUAUAUGGGGUGGGAGAGGAAGGAGAAGAAGUGAAUGUUACGAAUACACAGGUUCAACCAGUUCAUAUAAGAAGAAAGCCAAAUGGCUAAGGGACACCUGAAAAGCUACUCAUCUUCACUAACAUUCAAAGAAAUGCAGAUUAGCCAGCAAUGAGAAGUGCUCAUUUUUUUUUUCUUUUUUGAGAUCGUAUUGGCAAUUAUGAAAAAUAAAGAUAAUUAUAGGAAACUUGUUAACAGUAUAAAGUGAUAUGACUUUUCUGGUUUGCUAUUGAACAUCAUGUCAUAUUUUAAAAAUUAAUUUUUAUUGGAGUGCAGUUGUUUUACAAUGUUGUGUUCGUUUCUGAUGCAUCAGACAUACACAUGUGCGUAUCCCUACCCUCUUGGACUUCCUCCCACUCAGGUCACCACAGUGCCCAUAUAUAGGUAUUUAUUGCAAUAUUUUUAAUAUUAAAGAAAAGCUUAGAACACAAUAGAUUCCCUUCAAUGGAGGGUAGAGAUUAUGGUAAAAUACUACUGAGAGGUUGUUAUAAAAGGUGAGGUAGACUCAUAUGCAAGAUGUGCAUGGCAAGCCAUUUAAAGUAAAAAAAAAAACAAACAGAAGAGAGUAAACUGUGAUUUCAUUUUUGUCAAACAUAUACAGUAUAUAAGACACACUGUACAUACUAUCUUAGAAAUAUGUCUGCAUACACACUGUAUGUAUUUGCCUGUGUAUGUUUGUGUAUAUUACAUAACAUAUAACACAUUAUUUGUAGUAUAACAGUUACAUAUUAUAUAUAUAUGUAUAUACAUGUAUAGAUGGUGGCACUAGUGCUAAAAACCCACCUGCAAU
rnacentral:lncRNA from 1 species